rnacentral:misc_RNA from 1 species
GAUGAAGAACGUAGCGAAAUGCGAUAAGUAAUGUGAAUUGCAGAAUUCAGUGAAUCAUCGAAUCUUUGAACGCAUCUUGCGCUCCUUGGUAUUCCUUGGAGCAUGCCUGUUUGAGUAUCAUGAGCAAAUCUCAAAGUCAAUUCCUUUUGUUAAUUCAAUUGGUUUUGCUUUGGACUUGGAGGUCUUGCAGAUUUCACAGUCUGCUCCUCUUAAAUGCAUUAGCUGGAUCUCAGUAAUUAUGCUUGGUUCCACUCGGCGUGAUAAGUAUCACUCGCUGAGGAUACUGUUAAAAAGGUGGCCAGGAAAAUACUGAUUGAACCGCUUCUAACGGUCUAUUAAGUUAGACAAUUGACCCCUUAAGUUUGAUCUCAAAUCAGGUAGGACUACCCGCUGAACUUAAGCAUAUCAAUAAGCGGAGGA